GUCUGUAACAAAAGAAGUGGGUGGGCACUUUCUUAUCAAGUUGACACUCAUUGGCUCAUGAAGGUUGUAAAAGACCCAUCGAAGCUCCGAUUGGCUCAAAUGAAGUGUCCAUCUAAUGCUGAGAGCCCGCGCUAAAACCAGGAAGUGUCUGAACCGUGAUGAGAGCACAAGAUAUUAAGUUAUGACUGUUUAUGAUCACACAAUGUAAAAAUCGAUCAGCUGAUUUCACAGAUUGCAACACCUGUUCAUGGACUUUUAUCGAUGUGACGAUGUUCACAGUGGAUAUCUUUUUCACGGAAACGAACGUGUGGACCUCUGGCAAUGCCUUAGGAGCGUCUUUUUCAAAAUAUUGCUGAAAAGAGGAUAUUUAUGAGGCUUUAUAGGUCUGCCAGCGUGUCCAGAGCUGACCAGAGAAACCAUUCCCAGGUCCAGAGACGUGGGACACUUUCUGUCUGUCACUGGUUUUGGAAUACGAGCGUGAUUACAUGUGCUCCAAGUGUAGCCACGUGUUCACACUGCAGGCUGAUUUCGACCAAUUCUACACCUUCGUCCCACCGGCUGCCUGUCCCAACCCUGUUGUCUGUAAUUCGUACAAAUUCAGCUGUUUGUCUGGAGGAUCUGAGCCUGCUGCCUGCAGGGACUUCCAGGAGAUCAAGAUACAAGAGCAAGUAGGAAAGAUUUACAUGUGUUAUUGUUUUCUUCAGUUCAUUUGCAGAGUCUGUGGAUUGUACUUUGGAUCAGUGUAACCCUGUAUCCCCCACCACAGGUGCAGAGGCUGUCAGUGGGCAGUAUUCCUCGGUCGAUGGUGGUGGUUCUGGAGGAUGACCUUGUUGACAGUUGUAAAUCUGGUAAGAACUUUAAAUGGCAAGGUUUGACAAGAUUCACUUGCUAUUCAACACAAACUACCAGCUGCUCCAAACUGCCUGAGGACAAUCCAGGUAGUGUCACCAACUACCUCAGU
rnacentral:lncRNA from 1 species